UACCUUUCUCGGCCUCUUGGCUAAGAUCAAGUGUAGUAUCUGUUCUUACCAACUUAAUCGUUGGUACCAGGUCCACAGGAUCUUGUUCUGAAUUUUUAAUAUGGGCACCCCGGAGGGGGCAAGACCCU
rnacentral:snRNA from 1 species